rnacentral:rRNA from 1 species
UAGUCCACGCCGUAAACGAUGAUUACUAGUUGUUUGUGAUACACAAUAAGCGACAAAGCGAAAGCAUUAAGUAAUCCACCUGGGGAGUACGUUGGCAACAAUGAAACUCAAAGGAAUUGACGGGGGCCCGCACAAGCGGAGGAACAUGUGGUUUAAUUCGAUGAUACGCGAGGAACCUUACCUGGACUUAAAUGUAUUCUGACAGGCUUAGAGAUAGGCUUUUCUUCGGACAGUUUACAAGGUGCUGCAUGGUUGUCGUCAGCUCGUGCCGUGAGGUGCCGGGUUAAGUCCCAUAACGAGCGCAACCCACGUUGUUAGUUACCAGCACAUAAUGGUGGGCACUCUAACAAGACUGCCGGUGUAAACCGCGAGGAAGGUGUGGGAUGGACGUCAAAUCAGCACGGCCCUUACGUCCAGGGGCUACACACGUGUUACAAUGGUCGGUACAGAGGGGCAGCUACUAGGUGACUAGAUGCGAAUCUCCAAAACCGGGUCUCAGUUCGGGAUCGAAGUCUGCAACCCGAC